UUGUUAGCUUUAUAUUAUUCAUCCAGUGUAGAGAGUCCAACCAACUAUCAUCAUCGGAUGAGAGAAUGCAUGAACAAAAAGCUGAGAAUUCGUUUCCGGCCAUAGCCAAGACCAAUGGUUGCUGACACCAAACUCAAUAGUCAAUAGCGAUGAUGGCUGCCAUCGUUUCAGCAUAAAAAAACAUAAUGGGUUUCUAAAUGACAAGCAAAAGCCCCCUUGAACCGAAGAUGGUGAUCCACCAAAAAACCACCACACCCCACCGGUCCCGGGCAUCUUCUGGCAACCCCAUCAGUGUUUCAUUUUAUCCAAUGUAGGCCACCAUCUUGAUUUGAUUGCUCGGUUUCUUCUUGUCUUGCUCUUCUCUCUUUUUCCAAAGAAUGAUGGCUACUAAUUAACAAGGCUUUCCCACCAUGCACUUAAGGCUUCCAGCAUAACGAGUGAGUCUUCCCACGUAUGAUCCAGGCCUUGCUGUCAUCAUGUCAUGCCUUGAGUAUGGCCUGUCUGUUAGUUGAGCACCACCUUCUCUGAAAAAUCCUCCGUUCAGGUACUCGUCAUUGAUUGAUCUCCAUUGCCAGCUUUUCCACUCUUGCUCUGAUAUUCUCACUAUCAGUGAGUGAAAUGGGAACUCUAAUUAUCCUUGGUGCAAGGGAUUCUUGGGAAUUUUCUCAUGAGACUGUUAAGUCGAAAAGGUAGUUUCUGUGAUGUAUCUUCUAGUAAUUGUUAAUGAACAAUCCAACAUAUCAGCAUAUUGACAAAUUUAUGAUUAUUGCUUGCUUUAUCUUGCGAUACAAAUUGGAUUUUCUUUUCUCGUGAGAAGGGUAUCUGAUGGUGUCUUCAAACCAUGAAACAAAUUAAACAUGUGAUAUGACCAUAUAUGUUGAUUCAUGUGAAUUAACUAAAUCAGUAUCCACUGUACUUGUUGAGUUUUUUUGGGAUGUGUGUAUGUUAUGCCAUAAGUAAUGGCGGUAUUAUUUUAUCCUUUUAAAUCAUUUUGGAAAUUGUCCUUUUAUGAAGCAACGAAAUUGAAGUUAGAAAAGUUUUGAAGGUGGAGCCACUUCUGGAUGCUACUGGCCACUUAAUUUAUGUACAGGUCUAUGUGCAGGUCUAUGUGUUUAUGAUUUUGUUUAUGUACAAAAUUAAGGAAAUUUAAUCUUUGUUUUUGAAUGAGCCUUGGGUUAGACAUGUAGGUGACCUCACAUAGUAGGAUAAGGUUUUUGAUGUUGUAUUUUUUGAAUGAGCCUUUGAGCAGACAUUAUCAAGUAGUCAUAGUAGAUUUUAUGAAUGAUUUAUUUUUUCAUCCUAUGACUAACGAAAUUGAAGUUAGAAAAGUUUUGAAGGUGGAGCCACUUCUGGAUGCUACUGGCCACUUAUUUAGCUUAAGCGUUCUGAAAAAACCUGCGAACAUGGAGGGAAUUCAGGAAAGCAUCUUUCUCCCUGUUACAAGGGCAGACCUAGAAGUUUUAAGGUCACUUUUCAAUUGUAUCAUGCCAUACCUUCUAGGUUGGAAUGCCUUUGGAAACUCCAUAAAGCCAGAGGUAUAUAGUCAAGUGAAUAGUACCAACCCCAGAUAUGGAGCAGACAAUGAAUGGAACAGAUAGGGAUCACUCUUGCAAUUAUUUUCUCAAGACUGCAGGCAGUUACACAGCCCUGUGCUACCUUCUCAACUUUAAAAUGUGUUGAAUGUCUUCAUCUGGUAGCACAGAAUUGUUUGAGAAAUUGAGUAUCAUUAUUAGAAACUCAUCUUUAAUUUAAUUAUUUACUUAUUUGUUAAAAUAAAUUAUUUACUAUUUUCCUUUUGUUUUUUUCUGUGGCUAGUGCUUUUCCUUUUUGUUUUUGAAUGUAAUUAGAAUUUAUUGACAGCGUAAAAGUUUUUUGGUACUGUAAAAAAAUCUUCAAUUUCUAUGUAUGGGAAGAUCGUUGAAUUUUGUAUUAAAUUAUU